rnacentral:rRNA from 1 species
GAUGAACGCUGGCGGCGUGCCUAAUACAUGCAAGUCGAGCGAACAGACGAGGAGCUUGCUCCUCUGACGUUAGCGGCGGACGGGUGAGUAACACGUGGAUAACCUACCUAUAAGACUGGGAUAACUUCGGGAAACCGGAGUUAAUACCGGAUAAUAUAUUGAACCGCAUGGUUCAAUAGUGAAAGACGGUUUUGCUGUCACUUAUAGAUGGAUCCGCGCCGCAUUAGCUAGUUGGUAAGGUAACGGCUUACCAAGGCAACGAUGCGUAGCCGACCGGGUAGGGUGAUCGGCCACCCUGGAACGGAGACACGGUCCAGACUCCUACGGGACGCAGCAGUAGGGAAUCUUCCGCAAUGGGCGAAAGCCUGACGGAGCAACGCCGCGUGAGUGAUGAAGGUCUUCGGAUCGUAAAACUCUGUUAUUAGGGAAGAACAAAUGUGUAAGUAACUAUGCACGUCUUGACGGUACCUAAUCAGAAAGCCACGGCUAACUACGUG